GGUUUUCAUAAUCCUUCUGUAAAAGCCAUAAUCUUGGCGAUAUGCAUGUUUUCACAAAACAUGGUACACAAUUUAUUAAUGGAAAAUUUAUAAUUUGGUCUUUGGGUUUUGCCUUAUAUUACACUUUAGUCCUGAAAUCUAGGAAAUUAAUUAUUUAGUCCCUGGAUUUUGCACUACAUUACACUUUAGUCUCAGAAUUUUGAUGACUGAAUUAUUUAGUCCAUUUAAUUU
rnacentral:misc_RNA from 1 species